rnacentral:tRNA from 1 species
GCCCGAAUAGUUCAGUGGCAGAACGCCAUCUUGGUAAGAUGGAGGUCGAGAGUUCGAUUCUCUCUUCGGGCUCCA